rnacentral:rRNA from 1 species
AGAGCUUGCUUUCUAGAUGACGACCGGCGCACGGGUGCGUAACGCGUAUGCAACCUACCUCUUACUGGGGGAUAGCCCGAAGAAAUUCGGAUUAACACCCCAUAAUAUUAUAUACUCGCAUGAGUUUUAUAAUUAAAGGUUACGGUAAGAGAUGGGCAUGCGUCCCAUUAGCUUGAUGGUAAGGUAACGGCUUACCAUGGCAACGAUGGGUAGGGGGCCUGAGAGGGUGAUCCCCCACACUGGUACUGAGACACGGACCAGACUCCUACGGGAGGCAGCAGUGAGGAAUAUUGGGCAAUGGAGGCAACUCUGACCCAGCCAUGCCGCGUGCAGGAAGAAGGUUCUAUGGAUCGUAAACUGCUUUUAUUUGGGAAUAAACCUUUCUACGUGUAGAAAGCUGAAGGUACCAAACGAAUAAGCACCGGCUAACUCCGUGCCAGCAGCCGCGGUAAUACGGAGGGUGCAAGCGUUAUCCGGA